rfam:Sarcophilus harrisii ctg7180002440698, whole genome shotgun sequence.
UUAUGGACAAAAUGCUCUCUUUUGUGAAUUAGAUCAAAACGAGCUUCUUGUCCAUAGGG